GAUGAACGCUGGCGGCGUGCCUAAUACAUGCAAGUCGAGCGAACAGACGAGGAGCUUGCUCCUCUGACGUUAGCGGCGGACGGGUGAGUAACACGUGGAUAACCUACCUAUAAGACUGGGAUAACUUCGGGAAACCGGAGCUAAUACCGGAUAAUAUAUUGAACCGCAUGGUUCAAUAGUGAAAGACGGUUUUGCUGUCACUUAUAGAUGGAUCCGCGCCGCAUUAGCUAGUUGGUAAGGUAACGGCUUACCAAGGCAACGAUGCGUAGCCGACCUGAGAGGGUGAUAGGCCACACUGGAACUGAGACACGGUCCAGACUACUAAGGGAGGCAGCAGUAGGGAAUCUUCCGCAAUGGGCGAAAGCCUGACGGAGCAACGCCGAGUGAGUGAUGAAGGUCUUCGGAUCGUAAAACUCUGUUAUUAGGGAAGAACAACUGUGUAAGUAACUAUGCACGUCUUGACGGUACCUAAUCAGAAAGCCACGGCUAACUACGUG
rnacentral:rRNA from 1 species